rnacentral:lncRNA from 1 species
GAUGAAAGCCAAGCUGGAGGAAGAAGAAGUGAAAAAGGAGGAGGACGAGGAUGGAAUCAAGGAAAAUGAUAUGCAAGCAGAGAAAGACCAACAACCGAGUCAAGAAAGCAAGGAGGAACACAGUUCUGAAAACCCUCCUGUACAAGGAAAUGGGGAAGAGCCUGCCGAGAAAGCUGGCGGAGACAAAAAAGAGGAGGCUGGGAAAGUUCUCAACGAGGAGAAUGGCCAGGACGAAGGGGUUAGUGAGGAUGUUGAAGAGGAAACAGCAGAAGAUACGAUGAAAGAUAAGCAAGUUGCCAGCAAGAGUUCUGCCAAGGGACGUGAGAAGACUCCUGAAGUCAUCGAGAAGAAAAUCCCAAGCAGUGAACGCCCAACUGCCGAGGAAGCUAGUGGAGACAAAGAGGAGGAUGCUGAGAAAGAUCUCGAUGAGGAGAAUGGCCAGGACGAAGGAGAUGGUGAGGAUGUUGAAGAGGAAACGGAAGAAGAAGAUACAGUGAAAAGUAAGCAAGUUUCCAGCAGGAGUUCUGCCA